GUGGGGGAUAUUGCACAAUGGAGGAAACUCUGAUGCAGCGACGCCGCGUGAGUGAAGAAGUAUUUCGGUAUGUAAAGCUCUAUCAGCAGGGAAGAUAAUGACAGUACCUGACUAAGAAGCCCCGGCUAACUACGUGCCAGCAGCCGCGGUAAUACGUAGGGGGCAAGCGUUAUCCGGAUUUACUGGGUGUAAAGGGAGCGUAGACGGAAUGGCAAGUCUGAAGUGAAAUCCUGCGGCUUAACUGCAGAAUUGCUUUGGAAACUGUCAAUCUGGAGUGUUGGAGAGGUAAGCGGAAUUCCUGGUGUAGCGGUGAAAUGCGUAGAUAUCAGGAAGAACACCGGAGGCGAAGGCGGCUUACUGGACAAUAACUGACGUUGAGGCUCGAAAGCGUGGGAAGCAAACAGGAUUAGAUCCCUUGUAGUCC
rnacentral:rRNA from 1 species